rnacentral:rRNA from 2 species
GUCGAGCGGAGAUUUGAAAGCUUGCUUUUCAAUCUUAGCGGCGGACGGGUGAGUAACACGUGGGCAACCUGCCCUUGAGACGGGGAUAACUCCGGGAAACCGGAGCUAAUACCGGAUAACACAUAUCUUCGCAUGAGGAUAUGUUAGAAGGUGGCUUUUAGCUACCACUCAAGGAUGGGCCCGCGGCGCAUUAGCUAGUUGGUGAGGUAACGGCUCACCAAGGCGACGAUGCGUAGCCGACCUGAGAGGGUGAUCGGCCACACUGGGACUGAGACACGGCCCAGACUCCUACGGGAGGCAGCAGUAGGGAAUCUUCCGCAAUGGACGAAAGUCUGACGGAGCAACGCCGCGUGAGUGAUGAAGGUUUUCGGAUCGUAAAGCUCUGUUGUUAGGGAAGAACAAGUACCUGUUAAAUAAGCAGGUACCUUGACGGUACCUAACCAGAAAGCCACGGCUAACUACGUGCCAGCAGCCGCGGUAAUACGUAGGUGGCAAGCGUUGUCCGGAAUUAUUGGGCGUAAAGCGCGCGCAGGCGGUUCCUUAAGUCUGAUGUGAAAGCCCACGGCUCAACCGUGGAGGGUCAUUGGAAACUGGGGAACUUGAGUGCAGAAGAGGAGAGCGGAAUUCCACGUGUAGCGGUGAAAUGCGUAGAGAUGUGGAGGAACACCAGUGGCGAAGGCGGCUCUCUGGUCUGUAACUGACGCUGAGGCGCGAAAGCGUGGGGAGCGAACAGGAUUAGAUACCCUGGUAGUCCACGCCGUAAACGAUGAGUGCUAAGUGUUAGAGGGUUUCCGCCCUUUAGUGCUGCAGCAAACGCAUUAAGCACUCCGCCUGGGGAGUACGGUCGCAAGACUGAAACUCAA